ACGAACGCUGGCGGCGUGCUUAACACCUGCAAGUCGAACGGGUCUGCCCUGUUUUUUGCGGGGUGGGUCAGUGGCGAACGGGUGAGUAACACGUGAGUAACCUGCCCCUCACUUCUGGAUAACCGCUUGAAAGGGUGGCUAAUACGGGGUGUUCUGGCUGUGCCGCAUGGUGUGGCUGGGAAAGAUUCACUUUUGUGGUGUUUUGGUGGGGGAUGGGCUCGCGGCCUAUCAGCUUGUUGGUGGGGUGAUGGCCUGCCAAGGCUUUGACGGGUAGCCGGCCUGAGAGGGUGGGCGGUCACACUGGGACUGAGAUACGGCCCAGACUCCUGCGGGAGGCAGCAGUGGGGGGUAUUGCACAAUGGGCGGAAGCCUGAUGCAGCGACGUCGCGUGAGGGAUGGAGGCCUUCGGGUUGUGAACCUCUUUCGCCGGUGAAGAAGGUCCUGCUCUUUGGGGUGGGGUUGACGGUAGCCGGGUUAUGAAGCGCCGGCUAACUACGUG
rnacentral:rRNA from 1 species